CGGGCUAUAGCGCAGUUUGGUAGCGCGCACGGUUCGGGACCGUGAGGUCGUGAGUUCAAAUCUCACUAGCCCGA
rnacentral:tRNA from 1 species